rnacentral:rRNA from 1 species
CUGCCUGCCCUGUGACUUAGAAGUUUAACGGCCGCGGUAUUUUGACCGUGCAAAGGUAGCGUAAUCACUUGUCUUUUAAAUGGAGACCAGUAUGAAUGGCAUAACGAGGGCCAAGCUGUCUCCUUUUUCUAGUCAAUGAAAUUGAUCCUCCUGUGCAGAAGCAGGAAUACCCCCAUAAGACGAGAAGACCCUAUGGAGCUUUAGACACAAGACAACCCAUGUUAAAAAACUAAAUUAAUAGAAGAAACAAAAUGGUAUUUGUCCUUUUGUCUUUGGUUGGGGCGACCAUGGAGUAGCAAAAAACCCCCAUGUGGAAUAGGGCCUACCCCCUUAAAACCAGAGCCACAGCUCUCACCAACAGAACAUCUGACCAACAAGAUCCGGCAAAGCCGAUCAACGGACCUAGUUACCCUAGGGAUAACAGCGCAAUCCCCUUUUAGAGCCCAUAUCGACAAGGGGGUUUACGACCUCGAUGUUGGAUCAGGACAUCCUAAUGGUGCAGCCGCUAUUAAGGGUUCGUUUGUUCAACGAUUAAAGUCCUACGUGAU